CCUGGCUCACGAUGAACGCUGGCGGCGCGCCUAACACAUGCAAGUCGAACGAGCGAGAGAGAGCUUGCUUUCUCGAGCGAGUGGCGAACGGGUGAGUAACGCGUGAGGAACCUGCCUCAAAGAGGGGGACAACAGUUGGAAACGACUGCUAAUACCGCAUAAGCCCACGGGUCGGCAUCGACCAGAGGGAAAAGGAGCAAUCCGCUUUGAGAUGGCCUCGCGUCCGAUUAGCUGGUUGGUGAGGUAACGGCCCACCAAGGCAACGAUCGGUAGCCGGACUGAGAGGUUGAACGGCCACAUUGGGACUGAGACACGGCCCAGACUCCUACGGGAGGCAGCAGUGGGGAAUAUUGCACAAUGGGGGAAACCCUGAUGCAGCGACGCCGCGUGGAGGAAGAAGGUCUUCGGAUUGUAAACUCCUGUUGUUGAGGAAGAUAAUGACGGUACUCAACAAGGAAGUGACGGCUAACUACGUGCCAGCAGCCGCGGUAAAACGUAGGUCACAAGCGUUGUCCGGAAUUACUGGGUGUAAAGGGAGCGCAGGCGGGAAGACAAGUUGGAAGUGAAAUCUAUGGGCUCAACCCAUAAACUGCUUUCAAAACUGUUUUUCUUGAGUAGUGCAGAGGUAGGCGGAAUUCCCGGUGUAGCGGUGGAAUGCGUAGAUAUCGGGAGGAACACCAGUGGCGAAGGCGGCCUACUGGGCACCAACUGACGCUGAGGCUCGAAAGUGUGGGUAGCAAACAGGAUUAGAUACCCUGGUAGUCCACACCGUAAACGAUGAUUACUAGGUGUUGGAGGAUUGACCCCUUCAGUGCCGCAGUUAACACAAUAAGUAAUCCACCUGGGGAGUACGACCGCAAGGUUGAAACUCAAAGGAAUUGACGGGGGCCCGCACAAGCAGUGGAGUAUGUGGUUUAAUUCGACGCAACGCGAAGAACCUUACCAAGUCUUGACAUCCCUUGACGAACAUAGAAAUAUGUUUUCUCUUCGGAGCAAGGAGACAGGUGGUGCAUGGUUGUCGUCAGCUCGUGUCGUGAGAUGUUGGGUUAAGUCCCGCAACGAGCGCAACCCUUACUGUCAGUUACUACGCAAGAGGACUCUGGCAGGACUGCCGUUGACAAAACGGAGGAAGGUGGGGAUGACGUCAAAUCAUCAUGCCCUUUAUGACUUGGGCUACACACGUACUACAAUGGCGUUAAACAAAGAGAAGCAAGACCGCGAGGUGGAGCAAAACUCAGAAACAACGUCCCAGUUCGGACUGCAGGCUGCAACUCGCCUGCACGAAGUCGGAAUUGCUAGUAAUCGUGGAUCAGCAUGCCACGGUGAAUACGUUCCCGGGCCUUGUACACACCGC
rnacentral:rRNA from 1 species